UCCGCCUGCCCCUGGCGCUGUCCUGCACAGUUUGGGGGAUCGAGGGCGCGUGGGACCCGAGCCUGGAGUCUUCUCUUAAGCGAUAACGGCGACCUCAAGAAGCAGCUCCACGAAAGGCAGCCGCGGAUCGCCGCGCUCAGCGACAAACAAGCUUUGGGAACGAUCACUGCAGUGCCUGUCACGGGUCCUCAGGUCAGCUCCUUGCAGAGGUUGGCCGGGCAAGGAGCGGCAGUGCUACCUCAGGUUAGGCCAAAGACUCUGAUUCCAGACAGCCUCCCCAUUGCCCCGGGCCGGGACCGGCCACCCAAGCAGCCCCCAGCAUUCCAGAAGGCCACCGUGGUCAGCGUCAAGAACCCCAGCCCAGCCCUCCCCACCGCCAACAACACUGUCAGCCAUGUGCCAGCGCCCGGCAGCCAGCCCCAGGCCCUCGCCGAGCCAGCCGCCCUCGCCUCUCCGCUGAGCGGUGCGGGGGUGGCCUAUGCCAUCAUCUCCACCUCCUCUAGCAAUGCCGCCGCCAUGGCCCCCAGCACCGCUGUGUCUGUGGUCAGCGACA
rnacentral:sRNA from 1 species